rnacentral:rRNA from 1 species
GGCAGUUAGAGGCGAUGAAGGACGUGUAAGUCUGCGAAAAGCUGUGGUGAGCCGACAAAAUGCAUUUGAGCCACAGAUGUCCGAAUGGGGAAACCCACCUGUUUACAGGUAUCGUUAACUGAAUACAUAGGUUAACGAGGCAAACGAGGGGAACUGAAACAUCUAAGUACCCGGAGGAAAAGAAAUCAACCGAGAUUCCCUUAGUAGCGGCGAGCGAACGGGUAACAGCCGAUGGUUUAUGUUGUAGUGGAAUCUUCUGGGAAGUUGAGCGAUACAGGGUGAUAGCCCCGUACACGAAGCAACAUAAAGCACAUAUUAAGUAGGACGGGACACGUGUUAUCUUGUCUGAAGAUGGGGGGACCAUCCUCCAAGGCUAAAUACUCCUAACUGACCGAUAGUGAACCAGUACCGUGAGGGAAAGGUGAAAAGCACCCCGACGAGGGGAGUGAAACAGACCCUGAAACUGGACGCCUACAAGCAGUCGGAGGGCGAAAGCCUGACGGCGUACCUUUUGUAUAAUGGGUCAGCGACUUCGUCUCACGUGCAAGCUUAAGCCGAUAGGUGUAGGCGCAGCGAAAGCGAGUCUGAAUAGGGCGAUUGAGUACGUGGGAUGAGACCCGAAGCCGAGUGAUCUAGCCAUGGGCAGGUUGAAGGUGCGGUAACACGCACUGGAGGACCGAACCCACGUCUGUUGAAAAAGACGGGGAUGACCUGUGGCUAGGGGUGAAAGGCCAAUCAAACUCGGAGAUAGCUGGUUCUCC